GGGGGAGGUGGCCGCCGCCGCGGCCGACUCGUUCCCCCCGUUCGCCGCCGUGCAGCACCUCAUCGACGCCGUCCAUUCCUUCACUGGGCUCAAUUGGUGGGUUUCUAUUGCGCUGACGACCGUGUUGGUCCGGGCGGCCACGAUCCCGCUGCUGGUGUACCAGUUCAAGGCCGAGAGGAGGUUCAAUGCAUUGAAGCCAGAAGUUAAAGCAAUCGAAGAGGAUAUGCUAAAU